ensembl:miRNA
CACAUGAUGUGAUUAUCAUAUGAUACAUAUAACUAUAAAAUUAUCAUAUAAGUUAUAUCAUGCGAU